CACUUUUUAAUCCAUAUCCACCUUGUGUGCAAUGUCAGUUGAUCUUCUUUAUGUAGAUCAGCCAAACAUCAACCUAAUUUUUAACACUUUGUCUGAAAAAUAUUAUGAAUAAAUAAUUCAAAAUACAACUUUCAACAACGGAUCUCUUGGCUCUCGCAUCGAUGAAGAACGCAGCGAAAUGCGAUACGUAAUGUGAAUUGCAGAAUUCAGUGAAUCAUCGAAUCUUUGAACGCAUAUUGCGCUCUUUGGUAUUCCGAAAAACAUGCUUGUUUGAGUAUCAGUAAACACCUCAAAGCUUUUGAUCUUUUUCAAAAGUCUUGGACUUGAGCAAUCCCAACACCAGUCUUUUCGGAUCGGUGGCGGGUUGCUUGAAAUGCAGGUGCAGCUGGACAUUCUCCUGAGCUAAAAGCAUAUUUAUUUAGUCCCGUCAAACGGAUUAUUACUUUUGCUGCAGCUAAUAUAAAGGGAGUUUGACCGUAUUGGCUGACUGAUGCAGGAUUUCACAAAGGUCGGAAACGAUUUUUGUAAAACUCGAUCUCAAAUCAAGUAAGACUACCCGCUGAACUUAAGCAUAUCA
rnacentral:rRNA from 1 species